rnacentral:lncRNA from 1 species
CCGAGGGUGCUGGUGACCUGAGAAGAAGGGAGGGGACAGAGGAGGAGACACACCUGAUCAGCCCGGGAGACUUUGGAGGAGGCGGGCCGGCCGGGAGGAAGUGGCGGGGAGGAGGGACCGGAGCACCCCAGGAUCGAAGAGGGCGCACGGGCCCGGCCCUCCCACGCGCCCUCCAGGGACCCGGCAGCCAGACAGACGGACAGGCGGACCGCUAGGGAGCUCAAGUACCCGGACACACGCACGAGCGCAGAACAAAGGGCCGGACAUGCUCCAGCCCGCUCCGCCUGCGCCUCGGCCUUGCGCGCGGGGGCCCGGGUUACCUGCGCAGAGCCAGCUGUGAUGUAAAGAAGUUUGUGCUGCAUGAGAGAGAUAGCACCUGAAGAAAAUGAGGCCCUGGAGGAUGAGAGACUCUAAAGGAAAAGGGAAGGGCCUGCUGUCUUCCAGCCACGCCAGCCCCCAACUGAGAAGCUGGGUGAAGCCAUCUUGCAUCUUUAGCCCCAGUCAAGUUACCUCAGCAAAGACUAGCUGACCCUGCCAAGCCCUGCCCAAGUUACAGAAUCAUGAGCAAAUAAAUGGCUGUUUCUGUUUUAAGCUUUUAAAUUUUGGGGGUGGUUUAUGUGUCAAUAAUAACUGAAACAGAUAAUAUAUACAGAAUAAACUUUAGUUUUAAUAAUCUAAGUAAAAGCCC